UGGAUGAGUGGCGAACGGGUGAGUAAACACGUGAGUAACCUGCCCCCUUCUUCUGGAUAACCGCAUGAAAGUGUGGCUAAUACGGGAUAUUCUGUGCCUGCUGCAUGGUGGGUGUGGGAAAGAUUGCGCCCUUUUUGGGUGUUUUUGGUGGGGGAUGGGCUCGCGGCCUAUCAGCUUGUUGGUGGGGUGAUGGCCUACCAAGGCGGUGACGGGUAGCCGGCCUGAGAGGGUGGACGGUCACACUGGGACUGAGACACGGCCCAGACUCCUACGGGAGGCAGCAGUGGGGAAUAUUGCACAAUGGGCGCAAGCCUGAUGCAGCGACGCCGCGUGAGGGAUGGAGGCCUUCGGGUUGUGAACCUCUUUCGCCAGUGAAGCAGGCCUGCUCCUUGGUGGG
rnacentral:rRNA from 1 species